AGCUGAAUGGCACGUGAAUUGUCCUAACUCUGAGUCUUUGCAGGAGCUCUUCCCCAAAGGAUACUUCCCUCACCUUUCACCUCCACACUCAAACCACAGACAACUGGUACAGCUGGGCCACAUGAUGAAUGAGACACAGCUCCUUCACUUUUCAAAUGACAUGGAAACUGAGGCAUCCUAUGACAAUGCACCCAAGAAAUAAUAAGCAGAAUACACACAUUCAUGAAACAUGGGAAUGGGAUGCAUAAAUAUAAUUUCUGGCAUCUGAAAGUGAAUCAUUCUCUCUUCUUCAGCAAUGGAAUUAUUUUCACGUUUCCAGCUGCAGUGAUCCCAGCUCUCUAAAACCACAGUCGGCCACAGCAUCAGCAGGCACCCAGAGGAGGCCGCUCCAAUGGCUGGAGGUUCCAAAGCAGCCCCCACCCGCACACCCGCACACACCCGCACACACCUGGGUGUGUUUGCUUGCUGAGGGCUUGGGGCAGGCAUAUGGGCAGUUCUGGCUGCCAGAUGCUCACCUAGCUCCUUCUGCCUCUGUUUCAGGGGACAAAUAACUAGGGGAAAUGAGGAAACGAUUGUGUUAAUGAUUGUGGCACCACCCAAAUCUAGAGUAUAUGCUGAAGGAACAGAACUUGGGGAGGGAACACUCUGAGAACUUGAU